rnacentral:lncRNA from 1 species
CCGAUUGAUACGUGACGAAAAAGUUGAAAUGGAUAUAAUUGACUUCACCAAAUAUAAUCAUAAAUCUAAUGUAGCUAGCUCCCAAACAAGAUACAAUCAUCUGAUCAACUCUUCCUCAAAAUAAACCCCAAUAUUCAAGUCAUUACUAUCUAGGAUGUCAAUUUUAAAAUUAGGAAAAAAGCUCAAUGUAGUCAGAAACUACAAAAUAUUUGCAAUACUGAUCCAUUUAUGACUAAUAGAAUUUACAAAUACCCAGAAGAAAAAAGAAGACUUGAAACAAACAAAAACAUAUGUACACAUAAACAAAAGACUUCUUAAUCGGUCAGUUCAUAACCCCAAUUAGGAAUAUUUAAGAAAACACAAUAUAGCUUUACACACUAUUGAUCCAACUAACACUUUAACUCAAGAUAGUAAGAUGGAAAUUUGACAAACUCCCAGCAAAGACUUAACCAACAAUGCUCAGAUAAACAAAAAAGACUCAAAAUUUAACAUAACCAUAAUUGAAUGCGAAGGAAAAUUAUCAAAAGUGCAGACAAGAGGUUCAAAACAAUUGUAUAUUGGUCUCACUAUGUAAAUUUAGGCUGUAAUGGUUCAUACGCAAGAUGACGAUAAUCAAAGACACUAAAAUCAUAAGAUAAUCAUAGGCAAAAAUUCACCAAACUUUGUGAAAAGUGACUAAAUAAGUAAAUAGAAAACAUACCAGAU